CUGGUGGCGUGGGGAGCACGCGCGUGGCCGUCGUGGGGCUGAGGCUCUGAGGGAGGAGCUGAGAAGACGACGUGUCGGGACCCACCAGAAAUCGGUGCUUCCUCGAGGGGAGUCGGACGUCUUGACCCCUGGAGGCUGCUUACCUGUGAAGCAGGAUACCCCGGCACCUGACCCCGCAGAGGAGGCGCUUCUGUCGGACAGUCCUGCUGGGGAUACAUCCAACGCGACACUGGAGUCGGGCUGUUACCAGGUGAACGGUAGGUGCUAGGAAUGUCCGUGGAGUAAGUGCCUUGAGCAUAGCCAGGUACGUAGUAAGCCCCAGAGUAAGAGGCAGCACUUGCUGUUGCAGGGCCAGGAGGGUAAGGUGGGCCAUAUGCUCCAUUUGCGUAAGAAUUCAGACUCUGAAAAAAGGUAAUCAGAGAGGAAAAGAUAAUGGGCUGAAGGGCUAAAAUGCCCUUAAUGUUCAACCUUGAAAACUUUAGGAAGUAAAGGUGUCAGUAAGCAGUCUCUGAGGUGCUCUUUCUCUUCUCUAGUCUCUAUAUCACACGCCAGGCACUGAACUCAGAUUAUAAACUGAAGUUAUGGGACAUCGAUGGAAGCCUAUAUUGUGAUGACAGAUAACAUUUUCUUACAUUUAACUCACAACUACAUGUCUAAGAGGAGAACGUUUGCUCACAGAAGGCAACUCUAGGAAUCCUGGGGAACAAGGUAGAGGGGGAAAAAAUCAUAUAAUAGAAAGAAAAAAAUCAGAAACAUUCUCUAAUAGUUUAUAUUUAGUUACUCUUAGCUUCAGUUUCUCUAAUAGGAAAAUGAAGGCCAAAACUUUCCUUGCAGGAUUAUUAGGAAAAACUGAGAUAACAAAACAACAACAAAAAAAGAUUUAGCAGAUACACAAUUUGUUCAAAAGAUGGUGACUACAUUACUAUAAGUAUCACGAUGAGUUCGAGAAAUGACCCCAGUCAUAUUGAACUAAGCAAUCACCCUGCUUUCCUGAUGACAACAACAGAUAACAGGGAAAUUCUUCACUAUACUGUUUACUACUGUGGUUAUUAUAGUUUGGUUAUUGUUUUAAACAGUGCUGGGAACUAAACCCAGGGCCUUGUGUGUGUCAGACAGGUGUGCCACCUCCAAGAUACAAUGCCAAUCUGUUUUCCUGUGGUCUUAAAUCACCUACACAGACUAUUACAUUGCUCAUAUCCAGAUCCUGCUUAGUGCUCCAAAUAAGAUUAAAGCUAAGCCUUAACUUCAACUAUUACCUUAUGUUUUGUAUUAUUUGUUUGCCCCCCCACCUCUGUGUGUGUGUGUGUGUGUGUGUGUGUGUGUGUGUGUGAGAGAGAGAGAGAGAGAGAGAGAGAGAGAGAGAGAGAGAGAAUGUGCAUGAUAUGGAGGAUGCAUGUGUCACAGCAUGCUUGUGGAGGUCAGAGGACAACCUAGAUAGUGAGACCUUGUCUUUCAACUUGCCUUUAAAUUUGUUUGACACAGGGCCUCUUAUUUACUGUUUUAAAUCCCAGGCAGGCUAGAGAAUACAGACACAUGGGCUACUGCAUUCGGUCUUUAUGCGGUUCUGGGAAUCCAAACUGAGAUCAUCACGUUUGCAUGGAAGGCAUUUUGUCCACUAAACUAUCUCCCUAGUUUCACUUUAGUUUUUUUAAAAUAGGAGACACACAGAAUCAUGUUUUCUUGUAAAUGUUACUCCCAGCAGGAUGUACCAGGAAGAAUUUCAAGUUUGUAGCUAGUCGUCUACAUAGUGUGACAUUAUUCGAGGGAAGGGAGGAGCCCUAAUUGUGUGUACACACUUGUAAUCCCCAGUACUAAGGAAGAUGAGGCAGGAGGACUACAAGGUAGAAGACCUUGGCCUACAUUAGUAGAACCUGGUUUAGAAACAAAUUAAAACCAGAGAAACAAAAUAUACCUGAAGAAGUGUGUGUGUGGUCAGAAACAAUAAAAGAUUAAAGAGCCAAGUAAUGUAUUCCUCAUAAGCCCUUGAGGUUUUCAGUCUGAAAGAAGAACUCUUUAAUAGAAUAUAAAGGCCAAGAUUUGAUACAGUAUCAUGUGACUUUUUGGUCUGUACUCCAGCUUCCCAAGGAAAUCACUCCACUAUAAAAAAAGUCACAGGUUAGAGAGAUGGCUCAGGGGUUAAGAGCACCAACUGCUCUUCCAGGGGUCCUGAGUUCGACUCCCAGCAACCACAUGGUGGCUCACAACCACCUGUAACAGGAUCUGAUGCCCUCUUUUAGUUGUGUCUGGAGAUAGAUACAAUAUGCUCAUAUAAUUAAAAUAAAUAAGUCUUAAAAAGUCACAGGCACAAAGCUGUCAAGUAUAAUAUUUGUAAUUAGACAAAAUAGUACAGGGACAGAGAGAUGUCUCAACAGUUAAGGGCACUUGGUUGCUCUUCCAGAGGACCCAGGUUACAACCAUUAGUAAUUCUACUUCUGGAAUUCUGAUGCCCUUCUAGUCUCUACAGGCACUGCAUACGUGUGUGUGUGUGUGUGUGUGUGUGUAUACAUAUAUAUAUAUAUAUAUGCGCGCAGGUAAAACACAAACAAACACACGCAUACAUAUAUACAUACAAAUAUAAAAAUAACACUUUAAAAAUAAGUUACACAAAAUAUUAUAGAAUCUAAAUGCUUUAGGACUAUUCUAUUUUUAUUUUUAGAAAAAAAUUUAAUUUACUUAUUUUUAUUACACAUGCAUUGAUGCUUUGCCUGCAUGUGUGUCUGUGUGAAGAUGUUGGGUCCCCUGAACUGGAGUUACAGACAGUUGUAAGCUACCAUGUGGGUGCUGGGAACUGAACCCAGGUUCUCUGGAAGAGCAGCCAGUCCUCUUAACUACUGAGCCAUCUCACCAACCCUGAGAGCUCACGCUGUAAACUACAAGCACAAAUUAAAAAAACAAGCUGGGAGUGGCUCAAGUCUUUAUUAAAGCCUAUCAGCCUACCCCCAACCCUCCACUCCCACCCAUGACAUACUUCCUUAAACAAGACAUACUUUAACAAACAUACUUUCUUAAAUGUCCCAAAAGUACCACCAACUGGGAACCAAUGGUUCAAAUGUCAGAGUCUACUGGGGACAGUCUCAUUUAAACUACCACAAAAUGGAAGGAUUUUUUGUUUUGUUGUUUUUAAAUAAACACACAUUUAUUUACAAGCAACAAAACUACACUAUUUGGUAUUUGUUUCAAAACACUCCCAAGAUAAAUAUAAUAUGGUCAAGUACUGAGACUUGUUGAAGCUGAGAGGAACAUUUGUUUCUACCUUUGUUUGAAAUUUUCCUUAUUAUAAAAGGAAAUGAAGAAGAAGCUGGAUGGUUGAUCACAGACCCUAAUUCAAAAGGCCAAGAGCUACGGGGGUGAGAACAAAGAAGUUCUUGUCAUUGAGUCUGUAAACUGCAUGUGACAGGCAAACACAGAAGUGUGCAAUGGGGCAGUGGAGAUAGCUUAAUGGGUAAAAGUGCUUGUUUUGCAAGCCUAAUGGCAUGACGUGAGGCUUAUCCCUUGAUCCAGGGAAAAGAACUUCUAAAAAGCUCUCUUCUGACUUCCACAAGUGCACCAUGGCACACUUUGGCCACCACAGCACACACUCAUACACAAACAGAAUACCAAAGCUGAAUUUAAUCAUUAAAAGGUGUAUAAUGGCUUCAGGUGUAAACAGACAAUGGAGGAAAGGCUUAAGCCGCAUUUCACAGACACAGUCACAUUAGGACGGCACAAGCAAAGUUAUUUUCAUUCUUUCCUUGUUUUUCAGUUUUAUAUGUCUGUCUAUAUGAAAGGGGGCUUCUUAAGUUCUCUGUGAAGCUUCUGCUAGUGCUGAACUUGUGAUUCUCCUUAGCUCUGCCUCUUUUUUCUUUUCUUUUUCUUUUUUUGGUUUUACUAAACAGGGUUUUUCUGUGUGGCCCUGACUGUCCUGGAAUUCACUCUGUAAACCACACUGACCUCAAACUCAAGAGGUCUGCCUGCCUCUGCCUCCCAAAUGCUGGGAUUAAAGAUGUGCCAUCAUGCCCAGCUUCCAAUUAUCUAAUACACUUACAUUAAUUAAUUUUUAAAAAGCUUUAUUACAUAUUACAGAAUUAGAAAAUUUCACAAAAUAACUAUUUGAACUACAAAUAAUUAAAAGGGAAUAUUGGUUCAUCAAAGGACACUGUGGCUUCUGUUAGAAUUUUCCCCAAAACUAUAAAUUCUAUGAUUUCAGCAGAAUAUUGAUAGAUUCUUUCCUUCCUUCUUUCAUGUAUUUUUUGGUUCUUUGAGACAGUGUUUCUCUGUGUAGCCCUGGCUGUCUGGGAACUUGCUCUGUAGGUCAGGUUGGCCUUGAACACAGAGAGAACCAACUGCCUCUGCCUCGCAAAUGCUGGGUAUAAAGGAAUAAGCCACCACAGUCCUGACAGUUUUCUUAAGGAACGAUUCUGACCUUCAUCUAUUUUUUUCCUUCAGUAUCUCAGGAACCAUUAAAUGAAUCUGUGAGGAUUCUAUAUCUGCAUUUGGAAACUCGGAACCUCUGGGUCUUUGUUAAUAGCUACAAUUAUCUUCUUGUCCUUCAUCCCAGCCAAAUACUGGGAUGAAGGACUCCCAGAUAUCCGGAUACUCCAGAUAUCCUGACAGAAAGUUCUGGUGCCACUACUUUUCCUGGCUGACCAACUGCAUGUCAUGAGAACAAAGCCAGCAUUAAUAGGCCAGCUGCAGCAUGUAGCUGAUCUGCCAAUCAUCUACAAUGUAAAACUUCACUCUUCUAAAUGGCCCCAUUUCCACCACUUUGGUUCCAGUUAGUUCUGGCUGAUCACUUUCCUAGUCAAGCCACUCUGAUAUUCCUGCUAGCAAAGACGUUGGAGCCUUUAUGAGCCAGCACUACCUCCACUUGCCACUGUGGCCCCACAAGAUGGUCCCUGAAAAGAAAACAUCUUCAUUUUGUCACCACACUGUCCAUAACUUACUUCCUGCAAAGACAGUUCUCAUAAACAUAUCAUGUAACUUGAUAUCAAUAAUGUCAGAAAUUGAGGAGAGCUGGAGAGAUGGCUCAGUGGUUAAGAGCGCUGGCUGCUCUUCCAGAGGUCCUGAAUUCAAUUCCCAGCAACCACAUGGUGGCUCACAACCAUCUGAAAUCCGAUGCCCUCUUCUGGUGUGUCUGAAGAUAGCAACCAUGUACUCAUAUAAACAAAUAAAUCUAAAAAAAAUUAAAAAACAACCAAACUAAGAAGAAGAGGAGGAGGAGGAAGAAGAAGAAGAGGAAGAGGAGGAAGAAGAGGAGGAGGAAGAGGAAGAGGAAGAAGAGGAGGAAGAGGAGGAGGAGGAAGAAGAAGAAGAUGACGACAAAGAAGUAGUAGAAUUAGUAGUAGUAGUAGUAGUAGUAGUAGUAGUAGUAGUAGUUGUUUGAAGAACACUCAGUCUGGGCACUAUUCUGGGCAAAAGGUUCUUUCAGAAGGCAGCCACUCCAGCACAGUUGGGUGUGGUAGCAUAUACCAUUAAUCCUACACUUGGGAGGCAGAGCCAGGCAGAUGGCUGGUCUACAUAAAUGAGCCAGGGCUACAGGGAAAAACUUUGUCUCAAUAUACCCACACCCUAGAAGAAGAAAAAAGGCAAGUAGACACAAACUCCUAUCCUUUACCAAGAAGCUCUCUGUAGUUGGCACCUGCUGGGAAGGAGAGAUCAGCUACUCCAAAUGGAGUUGACACCGGCUAUAGCAACCACACAACAGGUGCCCACAUUUAGGAGAAGCUGGCAGCACAAACUCUCUCUCUCUCUCUCUCUCUCUCUCUCUCUCUCUCUCUCUCUCAAAGAACAAGAGAGGAAGGGAGGUGGGGACACCUGGGAGGAGCAGGGUGAUGGAAAAGACUAAUCAAAAUAUACUGAAUGAAAAAUUUAAUAAAAUAAAAAGAGGAAAAUGUCA